GCAGUCCGUCCGCCUCCGGCCUCCGCGUCGGCCGCCGGCGACGUGAUAGCUUAUCCCGAGCUCUGAUCAGCAGUCACUUCUGACCUCCUCAUCGGAACCUCCUUCCCCUUCCAACCACGCGGCACGCCCACGGCUCGCCGUCCCAGUCCGCCAACACCGGCAGCCCGCACGCCGGCGCCCGAUGCUCCUCUGGCUUCUCCGCGCUUGGAACCGCGUCGACCGCACAUGGCUCGUCCAUGCCGGCAGUGCACGCCGAGACGCCGCUCCCUCGUCGGCUCGUCGGUCACUCGCCCUGGACCCUUGGUUUUGGUUAGCAAUGGGGAAACAGCAGAGUCGAUGCAGUCAUUGGUGGAAAUUGGUAAAUCUCCAUCAGCUCCUGAUGGUCUAGCAUUGGUGGUCGUUAUGUGUAGUAUUUUCUGGAGUACCAAAAUUUACUUACAAUGCCCAGGUAUGUGUGAACCUGUCAGAUCUGCUUUAUUUGGAUGUGUCCAUCUAGAUGAUGCAGAGGCAGGGGCCUUCCCCCCCUUUUCUAUUUUUUUGUGUGUUCUAAUAUAGUGAUAUGGUCAAUUGUGUGAACUGAUGACAA